GAUGAACGCUAGCGGCAGGCUUAAUACAUGCAAGUCGUGGGGCAGCAUGAGUAGCAAUACUUGAUGGCGACCGGCAAACGGGUGAGGAACACGUACACAACCUUCCUUCAAGCGGGGAAUAGCCCAGAGAAAUUUGGAUUAAUACCCCAUAAUAUAUUUGAUAAGGCAUCUUAUUAAUAUUAAAGCUUCGGCACUUGAUGAUGGGUGUGCGGCUGAUUAGAUAGUUGGCGGGUAACGGCCCACCAAGUCUACGAUCAGUAGCUGAUGUGAGAGCAUGAUCAGCCACACGGGCACUGAGACACGGGCCCGACUCCUACGGGAGGCAGCAGUAAGGAAUAUUGGACAAUGGACGAAAGUCUGAUCCAGCCAUGCCGCGUGAAGGAUUAAGGUCCUCUGGAUUGUAAACUUCUUUAUAUGGGACGAAAAAGGGCAUUCUUGUUCACUUGACGGUACCAUAUGAAUAAGCACCGGCUAACUCCGUGCCAGCA
rnacentral:rRNA from 1 species